AGCUAUAACUUCUCAUUCCACUUCCACAUCAAAAAUCUUGAGCAAUCUAGGAAGAAGUAACAUCAUAUGAGAAGAAGCAUCUUCUUUGUCAAAAUUUCACAUUUACUUGAAUGAUUAACCUAUGACAAUAGUUCAUAUGUUGAUGCAUAUUAUCCAUGCUGAAACCGCAGCAUUAAGAUUGAUCACACAUCCAACAUAGUGAAAGGUAUGCCAUAAGGAAUAUGUGUUUGCAUGCACAUGAAAUACAAAACACUUCUUGCUUACUUAUUGCAUCUCAUAAUCGGAGUGCUAUAUUUGAUAUCCUAUACAGAUUUAUGUCAAGGAAUUGAACAGUUAAGAGA
rnacentral:lncRNA from 1 species